GAUCAUGGCUCAGAACGACGCUGGCGGCGCGUCUUAAGCAUGCAAGUCGAACGGCAAGAGGUAGCAAUACCUCCUAGAGUGGCGGACUGGUGAGUAACACGUGGGUGACAUACCCUUCAGAUGGGGAUAGCUAUUAGAAAUAGUAGAUAAUACCGAAUACGAGCACAGGGGUUAGAGAUCUGUGAGGAAAGGAGCUAAGGCUCCGCUGAAGGAAUGGCCUGCGGCCCAUUAGCUAGUUGGUGAGGUAAGAGCCCACCAAGGCGAUGAUGGGUAUCCGGCCUUAGAGGGUGAACGGACACAUUGGGACUGAGAUACGGCCCAGACUCCUACGGGAGGCAGCAGCUAAGAAUAUUCCGCAAUGGACGAAAGUCUGACGGAGCGACGCCGCCGUGGAUGAAGAAGGCCGGAAGGUUGUAAAAUCCUUUUGAAACUGAAGAAUAAGCGUUGUAGGGAAUGACAGCGUGGUGACAGUAGGUUUUGAAUAAGCAACGGCUAAUUACGUGCCAGCCGCCGC
rnacentral:rRNA from 1 species